rnacentral:lncRNA from 13 species
CUUCACAUUGUUUAAUACGAGUUACUUAUGACUCAUAACCAUUUUUUUCCUGUGUGUCAUCAGGGGCCUGCAUGUGGUGAUAUUUGGCCCUUCAUCGAAAGGCCCUCGUCUCCGCCUGACCUCUGACCUGCGUUCUAAACACACUCUGGGAAUCUACCUGUGGCCUCACUGUAGGCAUCGAGACCAUCUGCCUACUCAUCUUCAAUCUCGACCCCAUUGUCAAGACUGUGAAAAUGAGAACUUCUUCAGCCAUUCUACCUCCUUCAAAGUUCAUCAUUGAUGAAGAACACCUUGAAAUGCAUCAAGGGAACGCUAUUGGAAAUCACAAGUGUGAUCUUGCUAGUGGUUCUUCACCAUGUUUGGCAUGCUGCUCUUUCAAGGGGAGAGUCAUACAGUGGCUACUUCCCCAGCGAGGCCUUCCAGAGAAUGUUUGAUUUGCUACACAAGGACAGGAUCAACCAGGUAUGUAUUUAGAUCUACAGUUAGAGAUACUGUAUUUAUAUGUACUAUAGUAUAUGUCUAAAAUAAUCAAAUAUAUAUUUUACAUCUCUACCACAAUAUGUAUUUCUUACAAUCUGUGCAGUGAAAUGACUGUCAGUCUAACAGCAAUCACACUUGCAUCAUUUGCCCUUGUGCUUGCACUUCCCGGAAUAAAUAAUAUUACUUAUUAUAUGAUAAACAAACAAACCUNNNNNNNNNNCUCGACAUAAACAUUGUGCUACCCACCUCUCAGAAAAUCACACGGGAUUCCUAUGAUAUUGUUGAACAACGUGAUCGCAAGUCCCUGCUACGUUCACCAUAACAGGCCGCCAGUGUCAUGAGAAACAUGGACAUCACCUCAAGUUCUAUGUUAGCACUUAACACUGUCAAAUUGCACGGAAACGCAACUUAGACUACCGGAACACAAGUCACAGCUUUCACAUUUCAUAACGACGGCGACCAUUAACCUUUUUUUUGGGGGGGGGGGNNNNNNNNNNGGGGGGGGGGGUCUGCAGUGACAUCAAUGCGGCAUCUUGAUUCCACUUUUCCAUGUUUUCUAUAAUGGCAUUCAAAUCCAUGUUCAUUAUUAUUGUGUUCCCGGUCCACCCGUACUGUAUGUUUAGUACCGGGCUUUACCGAUAGCUGUAUGCCCAAUGCAGAUAUGACUCCGUGUUAUCUUUACUCCUCCAUUCUGGUCCGUGGAACAACAAAAAAAUGGGUAUAAGAUUAGCGAAGGAUUGCAAGUUUACCGCAUAGCACGUGGGAUU